GAAAUGCGAUAAGUAGUGUGAAUUGCAGAAUUCAGUGAAUCAUCGAAUCUUUGAACGCACAUUGCGCCCCUCGGCAUUCCGUGGGGCAUGCCUGUUCGAGCGUCAUCUACACCCUCAAGCUCUGCUUGGUGUUGGGCGUCUGUCCCGCCUCCGCGCGCGGACUCGCCCCAAAUGCAUUGGCAGCGGUUCCUUGCCCCCCUCUUUGCGCAGCACAUUGCCAUUCGAGGCGGCGGCGGCCCGCGUCCAACAAGCUCAACCCCCCCGUCUUUGACCUCGGAUCAGGUAGGGAUACCCGCUGAACUUACGC
rnacentral:misc_RNA from 1 species